rnacentral:rRNA from 1 species
GAGAUCAGAAGGAACAACAAUGGCGAAUGCAACAUACUGGACCGAUACUGACACUGAGGGACGAAAGCGAGUGGAUCAAACAGGAUUAGAAACCCUGGUAGUCCACGCUGUAAACGAUGAGUACUAGCUGUUGGAGUCGGUGUAAAGGCUCUAGUGGCGCAGAUAACGCGAUAAGUACUCCGCCUGGGGACUACGGCCGCAAGCCUAAAACUCAAAGGAAUGGACGGGGAC